GACGAACGCUGGCGGCGUGCUUAACACAUGCAAGUCGAGCGAUGAAGUUCCUUCGGGAAUGGAUUAGCGGCGGACGGGUGAGUAACACGUGGGUAACCUGCCUCAUAGAGGGGAAUAGCCUUCCGAAAGGAAGAUAAAUACCGCAUAAGAUUGUAGUACCGCAUGGUAUAGCAAUUAGAGGAGUAAUCCGCUAUGAGAUGGACCCGCGUCGCAUUAGCUAGUUGGUGAGGUAACGGCUCACCAAGGCGACGAUGCGUAGCCGACCUGAGAGGGUGAUCGGCCACAUUGGGACUGAGACACGGCCCAGACUCCUACGGGAGGCAGCAGUGGGGAAUAUUGCACAAUGGGGGAAACCCUGAUGCAGCAACGCCGCGUGAGUGAUGACGGUCUUCGGAUUGUAAAGCUCUGUCUUCAGGGACGAUAAUGACGGUACCUGAGGAGGAAGCCACGGCUAACUACGUGCCAGCAGCCGCGGUAA
rnacentral:rRNA from 1 species